AGCCAAGUAGCGUGCAGGAUGACGGCCCUAUGGGUUGUAAACUGCUUUUAUAAGGGAAUAAAGUGAGUCUCGUGAGACUUUUUGCAUGUACCUUAUGAAUAAGGACCGGCUAAUUCCGUGCCAGCGAGCCGCGGUAAU
rnacentral:rRNA from 1 species